CCCGGCUAGAGCGUCCCCCCAACAGGAAGUGGGGGAUUUCUCACGUGGACUUCAACUCCCAGAAGCCUCAGCUGCCUUGGCCCAUUAUCAGGGAUUCCCCUCCGUUUGCACUCUACACAGUUUGACCCAACUAACUGUCAUAGGUAUGGCAUCUGGGAGUUGUAGUCGAAGGCUUUCACUGAGCCACAAAGUGCCCAUGGGUUGCGAUUCCCAUCAUCGCCAGUCCACAUGACCGCUAAUCGAAAGUGAUGGGAGUUGUCGUUCCAUAAUGCCUGGAGACCCAAAUUCAGCAAAAUAUAUGCAAGAACCAAGAGAAGUCAUGUCAUUUGAACAAUUAACAGGGAAGAGACUUUGAGCAUUUCCAUAAGGCGAACCCUUAUUUCGGGUGGAGAAAUCUAAUUUAGAUUGGUGAUGAC